CACCAUCAUAGCAACAAGACAACACUGUCUUAAUGUCUUAUUCCAGGGUCAUUGUUACAGCACCAAGACAACACUGUCUUAAUGUCUUAUUCCAGGGUCACCAUCAUAGCAACACAUCAACAAGACAACACUGUCUUAAUGUCUUAUUCCAGGGUCAUUGUUACAGCAACAAGACAACACUGUCUUAAUGUCUUAUUCCAGGAUCACCAUCAUAGCAACACAUCAACAAGACAACACUGUCUUAAUGUCUUAUUCCAGGGUCACCGGUACAGCAACAAGACAACACUGUCUUAAUGUCUUAUUCCAGGGUCACCAUCAUAGCAACACAUCAACAAGACAACACUGUCUUAAUGUCUUAUUCAGGGGUCACCAUCAUAGCAACACAUCAACAAGACAACACUGUCUUAAUGUCUUAUUCCAGGGUCACCGGUACAGCAACAAGACAACACUGUCUUAAUGUCUUAUUCCAGGGUCACCAUCAUAGCAACACAUCAACAAGACAACACUGUCUUAAUGUCUUAUUCCAGGGUCACCGGUACAGCAACAAGACAACACUGUCUUAAUGUCUUAUUCCAGGGUCACCAUCAUAGCAACACAUCAACAAGACAACACUGUCUUAAUGUCUUAUUCCAGGGUCACCGGUACAGCAACAAGACAACACUGUCUUAAUGUCUUAUUCCAGGGUCACCGGUACAGCAACAAGACAACACUGUCUUAAUGUCUUAUUCCAGGGUCACCGGUACAGCAACAAGACAACACUGUCUUAAUGUCUUAUUCCAGGGUCACUGUUACAGCAACAAGACAACACUGUCUUAAUGUCUUAUUCCAGGGUCACUGUUACAGCAACAAGACAACACUGUCUUAAUGUCUUAUUCCAGGUUCACCAUCAUAGCAACACAUCAACAAGACAACACUGUCUUAAUGUCUUAUUCCAGGGUCACCAUCAUAGCAACACAUCAACAAGACAACACUGUCUUAAUGUCUUAUUCCAGGGUCACCAUCAUAGCAACACAUCAACAAGACAACACUGUCUUAAUGUCUUAUUCCAGGGUCACCGGUACAGCAACAAGACAACACUGUCUUAAUGUCCUAUUCCAGGGUCACCAUCAUAGCAACACAUCAACAAGACAACACUGUCUUAAUGUCUUA